rnacentral:rRNA from 1 species
GAUGAACGCUGGCGGCGUGCCUAAUACAUGCCAGUCGAGCGAACAGACGAGGAGCUUGCUCCUCUGACGUUAGCGGCGGACGGGUGAGUAACACGUGGAUAACCUACCUAUAAGACUGGGAUAACUUCGGGAAACCGGAGCUAAUACCGGAUAAUAUAUUGAACCGCAUGGUUCAAUAGUUAAAGACGGUUUUGCUGUCACUUAUAGAUGGAUCCGCGCCGCAUUAGCUAGUUGGUAAGGUAACGGCUUACCAAGGCAACGAUGCGUAGCCGACCUGAGAGGGUGAUCGGCCACACUGGAACUGAGACACGGUCCAGACUACUACGGGAGGCAGCAGUAGGGAAUAUUCCGCAAUGGGCGAAAGCCUGACGGAGCAACGCCGCGUGAGUGAUGAAGGUCUUCGGAUCGUAAAACUCUGUUAUUAGGGAAGAACAAAUGUGUAAGUAACUAUGCACGUCUUGACGGUACCUAAUCAGAAAGCCACGGCUAACUACGUG